CUCAUAUUUUCCCCAAGCUUCUUCCUGCUGUGAGCAAACUUUUUGACACCCUCAGUCUCAAGCAGCCUGAGAUUUUUCCUGGGUUUAAAUCUCAGAGACCUCAUCAGGGUGUUGGGAUUUCACGUGACUCUGAAGCUUCUGCCUGAUCCUGUUUCAUUAGAAACAGGAAAUGGACCCAGAAAUGGACCAUAUUGUGCACAACCUGAAAUAGGGCCCAGCAGAAACCACGCCAGGUAAGUUGCUCCUGGGGCCACUGUCUCUUUACGUGACGGUGUCAGGAUAG
rnacentral:lncRNA from 1 species